GCAAGUCGAACGAGAAGAGAUGAGAAGCUUGCUUCUUAUUGAUUCGAGUGGCAAACGGGUAGAGUAACGCGUAGACAACCUGCCGCAAGAAUGGGGACGAACAAGUCCGAAAGGAACUGCUAAUACCGAAUGUUGUAUCUCCUCCGCAUGGAAGAGAUAUUAAAGAUGGCCUCUACUUGUAAGCUAUCGCUUUGCGAUGGGUCUGCGUCUGAUUAACUAGUUGGUGGGGCAACGGCCUACCAAGGCGACGAUCAGUAGCCGGUCUGAGAGGAUGAACGGCCACAUUGGAACUGAGACACGGUCCAGACUCCUACGGGAGGCAGCAGUGGGGAAUCUUCCGCAAUGGGCGAAAGCCUGACGGAGCAACGCCGCGUGAGUGAAGAAGGUCUUCGGAUCGUAAAGCUCUGUUGUCGGGGACGAAUGUUGAGGCCUAGAACAUAGGUUUCAAAUGACGGUACCUGACGAGGAAGCCACGGCUAACUACGUG
rnacentral:rRNA from 1 species